AGCUUUGCGCAGUGGUAGUAUCGUAAACAAUGAGGUUUAUCCGAGGCGCGAUUAUUGCUAAAAGUUUUUCUCGUUGUCAGCUGGUCUCUGAUGAAAGAGCAAAAUAUGUUGAUAUUUGAUUCAGGAACUUCAUGGACAAAGAGCAAA